UAUAAAAUCUUAUUCAUGCGCUAGAAAAUAAAAAUUUCAAGCAUUACUCAACAGUUAAAAGGUAAUUAAGUGUUUAAAAAAUUAUCGUUUAAGGUUUAUGCACAUUCACCAUCUAAUCUGAACAAUGAUUGUAACUGCUUUUUUUCUGUCAUAUUUACAGCAAUGAUUGACAGCAUUGGUGGGGCUGUCAAAGUUAACAAUUUCCUUGCCACUCUUGAUCUUAAGCUGAUAAGCCUAGAAAAUCUUAAGGAAAUUAAGAGAGGGCCGGUGAAGUGAUAGAAGCUGUCUGAGCAAAAUCACAGAAACGGUCAGCUGAAGAGGCUUACAAAUAAAGAAAUGGAGUAUUGGUCAUACAGCAGACCCCAGAUAUACAGACCUUACCAGAUGCAGUUUCUAAGGGAAAGUUCAAGCCAGUAAUGACAGAAAAUCCUACAUUUAUAACAUUAGAUUUGGAAACUACAGAUCUAAUUCGAGGUUCACAGAUGCCACAUAUAACACAGAUUGCAGCUAAAGAAAUAAAGACUGCUGCUUCAUUUUAUCAGAAUGUAAUUCCUCCAAUGACAAUAGCAGUAGAACCUCAACGACAAACUGGCAUAAAAGUCACAGAUGAUGGUUAUAUGACUGUACAUAGUGAACAUGUUAAUAAUUUAAAUGUACAUGAAUCUUUACAUCAUAAAAUAAAUAAAUACAAGGGAUGAUCUUGGAUUUGCAUGUAAGAUCAAAAUGUAUUUCAUAAAGUUAACGUCAGAUGCAACAUUUUUAUUAGUCGCAUAGCCAUGAGUUUUAGUAUAAAAGCUAAUGCUAAUAAGUAGAAUACACA